UACAGGGGGUGCAAACGUUGCUCGGAAUCAUUGGGCGUAAACCGCACGUAGGCGGUUCGUUAUGUCGGAUGUGAAAGCCCUCGGCUCAACUGAGGAAGUGCAUCCGAAACUGGCAGGCUAGAGUACUAAAGAGGGUCGCGGAAUUCCCGGUGUAGAGGUGAAAUUCGUAGAUAUCGGGAGGAACACCGGUGGCGAAGGCGGCGACCUGGGUAGAUACUGACGCUGAGGUGCGAAAGCGUGGGGAGCGAACAGG
rnacentral:rRNA from 1 species